AAACACGGGAGGACUUUGCAUGGGCCCUAUCUGAAAUAAAUGCCAAACCUUCAAAUACCAGCAUCCAUGAAAACAAAGGGCUUAAACUUGGAAAACAAUGUUAGUGAGGCACAAAUGAUCUCUUCACUGCAACCUGCUAACGACUCGCAUCUGUGGUUGAGGGUGGCUGUUAAUGGAUGAUAGUGGAAUCCUAUGAGAUACUACAAAUGUGUGGCUUCAUUCUUUCUUCAGGGGCUGAUGGCUCAGAAAACAGAAGCAGUAAGAAGAAUGAUCCUGAAUAAUCAUUGAAGUACAGAAAACAGCAACAGUUUCUAUGAAUCUAUAUGGUAACAACACAGAAAAGGCAUAUAAAAAAACUGCUCUCCAUUCUCAAAUCUGAAAUACAGUUUCAGUCACCUCAAAGAACUGGGAAAGCUUACUCAAAAGAAAAGCGAUAAACAUUUGUUGAAUGAGUAAAUCAAGUGAAGAAACUAAACAAUAUUAAAGUUCAUAUACUGAAUGGCAAGGGAAGAUAAAUUGAUAAAAAUAAUUGAUAUUAGAUCACAAAAUAAUUAGUUUACUUAAAAAGAUGAUCAGGACAGAAAAGCUGAAGCUAGUUCUCACAGGAAAACUGAAAGAGAUUUUAUGGCCUUUCAACAGCAAGAAAUCAAUGGCAGUGACAGGAUACCUACCAUUGACUGAAAGGAUGCUAUGAUUAUAUGGGAGAUCUCUGAAUUAAUGUCACAACACCGAAGCAAAGUGGUUUUGAGGCAAGACAAGAAAACAAAAUUAAAUAAUGGCAUGGCAAUGUAUUGGAAUAACAGAACAGAAGGUGACUGAAAUAAUUAAAGUGGUCAGCGAUAAAAAAGUGCCAGGUCUUGACGUGAUGCUGAACUUGGAAGACAUUUUUGAGCUGUUUCUGCUAUAAUACCUGGAGUUCCACAAACUACUCUCACCACUGGGGAAAAAGUAAUUCUCAUUACUUACAGUCUCAUAAAGUCCCAGAAUUAUAGAAUUAGAAGGAACUUGACAGAUCUUGUGAAAUUGCCUAAUUUCACACAAGAAGAAACUGAGUCUCAGGGGAUUUAUAGUUUUGUUUCCUCCAAGACCAAAUGUAGGGAGAGGAACCCACUUUUCUCAUAUGAAAAUUCAGACAACACCUGAGUUAUAAACAUUCUAGAAUCUGGAAUCACAACAAGAGAAAGUGACCUUUAUUUUCACUUCAAAAUACUUAGGGAGUAAUUAGUAUAGGAGAGAUAAUACUAAUGGGACGGGAAGGGAAAAGGACAGGAGAUGGUAUGUAACACCUGUGGCAGGCACUACCUAGUGCAAAGGCAAGGAGGCUGGAGAUGGCAUCUUCCAGUGAGAAAUACCAAGUAGGUCAAUAUGGCUUGACUGUUGGGUAUCUCAAGUGGGGUAAUAUAUAAUUAUAAGAAGAUAAUAUAUUUGUAUUAGUACCCAAUGGUUUUUUAAAAAGGUUUUUAAAUCAUAAAGUCAGAGUAGUGCCUUAGGAGGAUUAUAUUAUUACUAAUACUUCACUCCUACUGAUAAUAUUCAAUAUAUCCUGUUUGUGCAUAGU